rnacentral:rRNA from 1 species
GACGGAAGGUGCAAGCGUUGCUCGGAAUCACUGGGCGUAAAGGGUGCGUAGGCGGCCGCGCAAGUCUGGCGUGAAAGCCCCGGGCUCAGCCCGGGAAGGGCGCUCGAAACGGCGCGGCUCGAGUGCCGGAGGGGAGAGUGGAAUUCCUGGUGUAGCGGUGAAAUGCGUAGAUAUCAUGAGGAAUACCAGAGGCGAAGGCGGCUCCCUGGACAAUUGCUGACACUCAGGCACGAAAGCGUGGGGAGCAAAAGGG